GUAGUCCACGCCGUAAACGAUGUCUACUAGCUGUUCGUGUCCUUGUGACGUGAGUAGCGCAGCUAACGCAUUAAGUAGACCGCCUGGGGAGUACGGUCGCAAGAUUAAAACUCAAAUGAAUUGACGGGGGCCCGCACAAGCGGUGGAGCAUGUGGUUUAAUUCGACGCAACGCGAAGAACCUUACCUACUCUUGACAUCUACAGAAGACUGCAGAGAUGCGGUUGUGCCUUCGGGAACUGUAAGACAGGUGCUGCAUGGCUGUCGUCAGCUCGUGUUGUGAAAUGUUGGGUUAAGUCCCGCAACGAGCGCAACCCUUAUCCUUAGUUGCCAGCACGUUAUGGUGGGAACUCUAGGGAGACUGCCGGUGAUAAACCGGA
rnacentral:rRNA from 1 species